UCUACAUUUUUCGCCCCAUGCAUUUACAGGGCGAGUCGGACCAGAUCCAACUCAUCGAACUCGUCGACCGACUCGUCGUCCAAACCCCAAACCUCUCACAAUUAUUAGGGUUUUAGAUUAGAUCGGUUUCGUCUCCUCCUCCCCUCUCUCUCUCUCUCUCCCUCUCUCUUCCUCUUCUCCACAGAGCACGCAAAGAAAGGAAAAAAAUGGCGUCGCUCCGCGGAUACGCCGCCAUUGCCGCUGCCGCGUCGAGGUCCUCCGCCGCUGCCACCCCCGCCGCGAGAUCGGCGGCUCUUCGGUCCAAAGCUCCGCUCCUCAAACCCUCGCCUCCGCGGCGCUCCGCCCCUCUCUUUCGCAGGUCGAUGGCGUCGGCGUUGGGGGGCGUCGAGUCCCUGAUGCCGCUCCACUCCGCCGUCGCGGCCGCGCGGCUCCGAUCGUUCAUCGCCACCGAUUCCUCCUGCUGGAGCUGGCUCUCCCAAGGUUUAAACAAGCGCAUCUGAUCAUGGCUAGGAAGACUGACAAAGAAGAGAAGACAUUCAAGAUCAAAAUGUGAUUGAAUUUUCUGGAGCCAUGUUUGUUCCUUUUAUAUUAUUGGGGGCUGAUGUGAUAUUUUAGAAGCUCAAGUCACUAAAACGAGUUUGAGUUAUUCACUCUGCGGAAACUGUUUUGGGAAAAAGUUACUUUGCCCUCCCCCGGUGAUGAAGACUGAAACCUGCCGCUUCCAGAAACAGCCAAAAACAAAAAAAAAAGGCUGCUAGAAUUCUGCUCUUCUUCUUGUGUCAUUGCUUGCAUUAGGGAUGAUAUAUUCAAGUUUAACUUUAAAAGCAUGUUUCACAUUUCAAUUAUGAUUACAUUCUUUUUCUUGAUAGUUUUAUUUUUCGAUGAAUGGUGAUACAUCGCCAAACAAAUUGCUCUUGUUCUUUACUAUAAUUUUUGUUGGAAAAACGAUUCGUGGGUGAUAGUUACUGGAGGGAAAGAUAGAUUACAUUGAUGCCGUUCAUUUA